AAAUUCUUGACAAUACCGUCCGGUAUGGGCUAAUUUUACUUUUUGAAAUGAACGAUCUCGAGCAUGCGCAGUUAGGCAUUGUUGUUCCUCUACGCCGCUUCGAAGAUGGUAGUGUGUCACAGAAAGCCACGGUACAGAAAUUGUCUACCAGUAUUUGACGUGAGAGGGCCAAGGUUCCUCACUAGAACAUUAGGACCGGUUCUUAUUAAAAAGGUCUGACAUUCCAGCUAGAUCUACAUUGUAUACCUUAUAAUGAGAGAAAACACCAGAAACUAUUUCCUGAGGAACAUGUAUAAACUAGUGAAUUGAUGGUUUAACUACCAAGAUGUAAUGAGAGAUGUCAAGUAAUUAACAAAAAGAAGUAACAUGAAGUUAGACAAUACAACUUGAGGUGUCAGAAUUUGUGCAAUUGUUAUUUGCAGAUAUAUAGCUGGAUUUUGUCAAAAUGUGAACUGUAACACUGGGAUCAAAUAUGUUAUUUUUUCUAAAAAAUGAUGAAUUUGAGAAUUAAAUUUUCAUAUCUA